GUUGAUAGUAGCAAGCCCAUUCUAGUCAUUGGUGGUUCAGCCAAUAAGGUGGUACGGAAUGUUUACAAAGAUUCCAAUUAUUAGUCAUUUGUAAAGCUGUUGACACCGAAAGCAUAGGAGUAAAUGGGAUGUCAAGGUGGUGGUAGUGGGUUGGCGUUUUGUAGAGAAGGGAGCAGGCAUUCCAAGCAAUCUCUAAGCUCUUCUGUGCCAUCAAUUAAUCCAAAUCCUAAUUAUUACACAAAACCAAUAAUCUUCAAAUGCGACUAGAGGAAAGGCUGGCAGAAAACAUCUGUUGGUAAGGCUGGCCUUUGAAGCCCUAUAGCUGGAUGUCUACAGUUCUGUUGCCCCCACAGGCAAAUCUGGAUGAAAAAGUGAGAAAAGGUGAACUGUUGAGUCCACAGAAAUUUGGGCCACAGCAAAUCUGGAUGAGUCAGAAGAAACAUUGCAGAAAUUAGCUGUCAACAUCAACUGACCAUAACAACAUACACUGGAGCAAUGCCCAUCCUGCCCAUAGGCCUUCUUAAAUCUGAAUCUGAAAUUGAGAUGAGGGGUUUCUGAUAGUAGUGGAAAUUCUCACUUGAUUUGUUGUCGGGUUCAAGAAUGAGACACUGCAAGAUUUUUCUCCUUUCUGUGAGAUGAUAAAAUACUUUCUGGCACUCUUGAUGAAUGUUCUCUCACUUGUGAGAAUGUUUUUUGCACAUAAUGUAAAAAACUGCUUGCACAGAUUUUUUUAAAAACGAAAAGCAUCUAAUGGGUUGUUUGCAUCUUCAGAUGAAUCAGCCAGAAGGUCUAUGCUUGCUCUUUGUACACGUCUUGCAUCAGUCUAAGCAGAAACAUCAGGUGGUAUAGUGCUUAUUAAGCAAGUUUUCAAUCACACUGCUUCGUGCUUCUAUUGCUUUCUGUGCCUGAAGCUAACAGGAAUGUGCUUCUGGGAGCUAUACUCUAAGGAAAAAAUAGAAGGGGAAUUGGCGUUACAAUGGAUGCUAUAAAUUCAUUUUUCUGCACAAAAAUACAGGAGGAUGAGCUUGACAGUCCCAUCAAGAGCAUCUGGAUUAACAUACUUGGGACAAAAAAAAACCCA
rnacentral:lncRNA from 1 species